UUUUUUUAAUCGAAAAAUCAAUUUAAAACUAUAAAUUUUUACAACAAUCAAGCUUUGCCGAAACAGUUAUUUACAACAUAAUUUAAAACCUUUUGUGUCAUAGCUGUUCUGUACUAUAUGAUUGAAAGUUUUUAUGGAUUGUAAUAGUAUAAAAUUAUCGAGAUGACUUCAGCAAAUUUUGAAAUAUAACUUUACCAAUAAAGCCAAGAAAUUUUGUCUACUCUAAAAGUGGAGAACGAGCUUGGCGCUUACGGCUUUUGUGUAAAAUCCAAUUCAAUAAACUUCAGACCGAUUUCAUAAAGACUUAAUAAUUGAGACAAAAUAGUACAUCAAAUGAAAAUGGUCGAACGGGUUUCAACAUACAAAAAUCACGAUAAUUUGUUACAGCCUACUCUUGCGCGUAUUCCCAUCCCUGUUGCGAUGGACGGCUGCGGAGCCUCCGAUGCCAUUCGGACAUCGGGUUAAGACCUUUGGGUUCCGCCCAAUUUAUAUACGAGCCUGGUGCCCAAUUGAAUAUAUUUAAUAUUCACCCCGACUCGCUUACACACGCCGUAAGCAAGUUUUAGUUAGAAAAGCAAUCAAACAUUAAAGUGAUGAAAACAUGUGGACGUUAUGUCAAAGGAUAGGGAUAUUUGUAUAUUCUUACCUCAUUUCCACAUCCAAACAUAUGCUUGCAUAAUUUGCGAUGCACCGAGGUCAAAUCUAAGUGUUUAUCCGUCCAGUCUCUGGUAAUUUCAAUAAGCUCUUUCUCGUUAAGCCA